rnacentral:rRNA from 1 species
UACGGAGGGUGCAAGCGUUAUCCGGAUUCACUGGGUUUAAAGGGUGCGUAGGAGGGCAGGUAAGUCAGUGGUGAAAUCUCCAAGCUUAACUUGGAACUGCCGUUGAUACUAUCUGUCUUGAAUAUUGUGGAGGUGAGCGGAAUAUGUCAUGUAGCGGUGAAAUGCUUAGAUAUGACAUAGAACACCAAUUGCGCAGGCAGCUUACUACACAGUAAUUGACACUGAGGCACGAAAGCGUGGGGAUCAAACAGG